GAUGAACGCUAGCGGGAGGCUUAACACAUGCAAGUCGAGCGGGAAGGGUAGCAAUACCCUGAGAGCGGCGCACGGGUGCGUAACGCGUAUGUAACCUGCCUUAUACAGGGGGAUAGCCCAUGGAAACGUGGAUUAACACCCCAUAGGACUGGAAUUUCGCAUGGGAAUUCAGUUAAAAUUACGGUGGUAUAAGAUGGGCAUGCGUCUGAUUAGGUAGUUGGUAGGGUAACGGCCUACCAAGCCGACGAUCAGUAGGGGUUCUGAGAGGAUUACCCCCCACACUGGUACUGAGACACGGACCAGACUCCUACGGGAGGCAGCAGUGAGGAAUAUUGGUCAAUGGGCGAGAGCCUGAACCAGCCAUCCCGCGUGCAGGAUGACGGCCCUAUGGGUUGUAAACUGCUUUUCUGCUCCAAGAAACCUGAUUACGAGUAAUCAGUUGACGGUAGAGUAGGAAUAAGCAUCGGCUAACUCCGUGCCAGCAGCCGCGGUAAU
rnacentral:rRNA from 1 species